AAAUCUCACACUCAUUAUUCGUUUAAUGUUGCUCUGCGUUGAAUUGUUUUAUCGAUUCCAUUUCUUGCUUUGUUUGCUUUUAUGAACUGGGCUUAUAUUUUUUCGAUAGAUGUUUGUUUGUGGGUUUUGGCUACUCAUUAUGAAUUCUGGGGGUUUGGUUGAGUUGCCAUUGUGCUUGGUUGCUGAAAAAGCAUGGGAAAAUAAUGGCUAAAAGUUCUAAUUGAUUGUUAUUCAUGAUUGAGCAGGAAUUCAUUUAUUUAUGAAUGUGUUCGUGAUGGAUACUAAAAGUUUUGAGUAUUUGAACUUUUAGGGGACAAUGGUUUAAGGUUUAGCGGCCAAUUUGAGCUUUUAGUUGAAAUAAUUGAGCAGUUGGUUGCGUCUGGUAAAGUCAUUUUCACCCCACCUUGCAAAAUCCUUUUUUCCAAAUUCCCUCUAUAAGUUUCAAGGGCUGCUUCCUUUGAAUUUUUUGUUCCAAUGAGAAAGGGAAAGAAACUGACUUUUGAAGAUAUGACACCUUUCCAACGGUUGAAGAAAGUGAAGAACUUAGAAGGAGAUUCAGUCACCUACAAGUUGCUUAUCCCUUUGGACGAAUCAACUAAAACAUACACAUUGGAACCUAUUUUUAAUUAACAUGAUUCCUCUUAUGAUGAAUGGUUUCCUAACCACAACAAAGACCCCCUUAGGUUUCCCAAAUCCAAUGACAUGGUUAUUUGGGUCAAAUUCACACUUAGUAGGUCAUGGCCUCUUCCAAGCCAAUAUUAUCUAUGUUGGCUCAGCCAAGUUGAGGCCCAAUAUAAUGAACUUUGGGAUGAAAUAGCUAUUUUUGAUUUGAUCCAAUUUCCAUGAUUUUGAAUCCCACUCCAUAACAAUCUUCUUGCAUAAGCCCUUUUCUUUUGGUCAGGAACCUCAAAUUGCUUCCUGUUCAGGUAAGCCAUGAUAACAAAUACCUUGUAUGGCGUAGGAGUCAUGUUUGAUGACCCACCAUAUGGUGAAGAGAAAUCUUAGCUUUACAAAGUUUCCAUAGGUUUAAGUAAAUCUUGACCAAGAAUGCUUGGU